GUGUCAGCCGCCGCGGUAAAACGUAGGUCCCGAGCGUUGUUCGGAUUCACUGGGUGUAAAGGGCGCGUAGGUGGUUGUCUGUGUCUCAUGUGAAAACUCAGGGCUCAACUCUGAGAUGGCGUGGGAAACUAGGCAGCUAGAGGACGGUAGAGGGGAGUGGAAUUCCCGGUGUAGCGGUAAAAUGCGUAGAUAUCGGGAGGAACACCGGUGGCGAAGGCGGCUCUCUGGGCCGAUCCUGACGCUGAGGCGCGAAAGCUAGGGGAGCGAACCGGAUUAGAUACCCGGGUAGUCCUAGCCGUAAACGAUGGACGCUAGGUGUGGGCGGUUUAUCCGUCUGUGCCGAAGCCAACGCGAUAAGCAUCCCACCUGGGGAGUACGGCCGCAAGGUUGAAACUCAAAUAAAUUGACGG
rnacentral:rRNA from 1 species